CCUACGGGAGGCAGCAGUGGGGAAUAUUGGGCAAUGGAGGCAACUCUUACCCAGCAAUGCCGCGUGAAUGAAGAAGGUCUUCGGAUUGUAAAGUUCUUUAAUUGGGGACGAAAAAAAUGACGGUACCCAAGGAAUAAGCCCCGGCUAACUACGUGCCAGCAGCCGCGGUAAUACGUAUGGUGCAAGCGUUAUCCGGAUUUACUGGGUGUAAAGGGAGCGCAGGCGGCACGGCAAGCCUGAUGUGAAAGCCCGCGGUCCAACCGCGGGACUGCAUUGGGAACUACCGGGCUGGAGUGCCGGAGAGGUAGGCGGAAUUCCUAGUGUAGCGGUGAAAUGCGUAGAUAUUAGGAGGAACACCAGUGGCGAAGGCGGCCUACUGGACGGUGACUGACGCUGAGGCUCGAAAGCGUGGGGAGCAAACAGGAUUAGAUACCCCGGUAGUC
rnacentral:rRNA from 1 species